CGGGGGGGGCAAGCGUUGUUCGGAAUUACUGGGCGUAAAGGGCUCGUAGGUGGCCAACUAAGUCAGACGUGAAAUCCCUCGGCUUAACCGGGGAACUGCGUCUGAUACUGGAUGGCUUGAGUAUGGGAGAGGGAUGCGGAAUUCCAGGUGUAGCGGUGAAAUGCGUAGAUAUCUGGAGGAACACCGGUGGCGAAGGCGGCGUCCUGGACCAUUACUGACGCUGAGGAGCGAAAGCCAGGGGAGCAAACGGGAUUAGAUACCCCGGUAGUCCUGGCCCUAAACGAUGAAUGCUUGGUGUGGCGGGUAUCGAUCCCUGCCGUGCCGAAGCUAACGCAUUAAGCAUUCCGCCUGGGGAGUACGGUCGCAAGGCUG
rnacentral:rRNA from 1 species